UAGGGAAUCUUCCACAAUGGACGAAAGUCUGAUGGAGCAACGCCGCGUGAGUGAUGAAGGGUUUCGGCUCGUAAAACUCUGUUGUUGGAGAAGAACAGGUGAUAGAGUAACUGUUAUCAUCUUGACGGUAUCCAACCAGAAAGCCACGGCUAACUACGUGCCAGCAGCCGCGGUAAUACGUAGGUGGCAAGCGUUGCCCGGAUUUAUUGGGCGUAAAGCGAGCGCAGGCGGUUUUUUAGGUCUGAUGUGAAAGCCUUCGGCUUAACCGGAGAAGGGCAUCGGAAACCGGGAGACUUGAGUGCAGAAGAGGACAGUGGAACUCCAUGUGUAGCGGUGAAAUGCGUAGAUAUAUGGAAGAACACCAGUGGCGAAGGCGGCUGUCUGGUCUGUAACUGACGCUGAGGCUCGAAAGCAUGGGUAGCGAACAGGAUUAGAUACCCUGGUAGUCCAUGCCGUAAACGAUGAGUGCUAAGUGUUGGAGGGUUUCCGCCCUUCAGUGCUGCAGCUAACGCAUUAAGCACUCCGCCUGGGGGAGUACGACCGCAAGGUUGAAAC
rnacentral:rRNA from 1 species